rnacentral:rRNA from 1 species
CCCUUAGAUGUUCUGGGCCGCACGCGCGCUACACUGAUGCAUUCAACGAGUCUAAAACCUGGUCUGAUAGGGGUGGGUAAUCUUUUGAAUGUGCAUCGUGAUUGGGAUAGAUGAUUGCAAUUUUUCAUCUUCAACGAGGAAUGCCUAGUAAACGCAAGUCAUCAGCUUGCAUUGAUUACGUCCCUGCCCUUUGUACACACCGCCCGUCGCUCCUACCGAUUGAAUGAUCCGAUGAAUAUCAUGGAUUGAGGAUGUAAGCAGGUUCGCCUGUCUUCAUCUUCGAGAAGUGAAGUAAAUCUUAUCAUUUAGAGGAAGGAGAAGUCGUAACA